rnacentral:rRNA from 2 species
CACCUGAUUGAUUUUGGUCGCCAACGAGUGGCGGACGGGUGAGUAACACGUAGGUAACCUGCCCAGAAGCGGGGGACAACAUUUGGAAACAGAUGCUAAUACCGCAUAACAGCGUUGUUCGCAUGAACAACGCUUAAAAGAUGGCUUCUCGCUAUCACUUCUGGAUGGACCUGCGGUGCAUUAGCUUGUUGGUGGGGUAACGGCCUACCAAGGCGAUGAUGCAUAGCCGAGUUGAGAGACUGAUCGGCCACAAUGGGACUGAGACACGGCCCAUACUCCUACGGGAGGCAGCAGUAGGGAAUCUUCCACAAUGGGCGCAAGCCUGAUGGAGCAACACCGCGUGAGUGAAGAAGGGUUUCGGCUCGUAAAGCUCUGUUGUUAAAGAAGAACACGUAUGAGAGUAACUGUUCAUACGUUGACGGUAUUUAACCAGAAAGUCACGGCUAACUACGUGCCAGCAGCCGCGGUAAUACGUAGGUGGCAAGCGUUAUCCGGAUUUAUUGGGCGUAAAGAGAGUGCAGGCGGUUUUCUAAGUCUGAUGUGAAAGCCUUCGGCUUAACCGGAGAAGUGCAUCGGAAACUGGAUAACUUGAGUGCAGAAGAGGGUAGUGGAACUCCAUGUGUAGCGGUGGAAUGCGUAGAUAUAUGGAAGAACACCAGUGGCGAAGGCGGCUACCUGGUCUGCAACUGACGCUGAGACUCGAAAGCAUGGGUAGCGAACAGGAUUAGAUACCCUGGUAGUCCAUGCCGUAAACGAUGAGUGCUAGGUGUUGGAGGGUUUCCGCCCUUCAGUGCCGGAGCUAACGCAUUAAGCACUCCGCCUGGGGAGUACGACCGCAAGGUUGAAACUCAAAGGAAUUGACGGGGGCCCGCACAAGCGGUGGAGCAUGUGGUUUAAUUCGAAGCUACGCGAAGAACCUUACCAGGUCUUGACAUCUUGCGCCAACCCUAGAGAUAGGGCGUUUCCUUCGGGAACGCAAUGACAGGUGGUGCAUGGUCGUCGUCAGCUCGUGUCGUGAGAUGUUGGGUUAAGUCCCGCAACGAGCGCAACCCUUGUUACUAGUUGCCAGCAUUAAGUUGGGCACUCUAGUGAGACUGCCGGUGACAAACCGGAGGAAGGUGGGGACGACGUCAGAUCAUCAUGCCCCUUAUGACCUGGGCUACACACGUGCUACAAUGGACGGUACAACGAGUCGCGAACUCGCGAGGGCAAGCAAAUCUCUUAAAACCGUUCUCAGUUCGGACUGCAGGCUGCAACUCGCCUGCACGAAGUCGGAAUCGCUAGUAAUCGCGGAUCAGCAUGCCGCGGUGAAUACGUUCCCGGGCCUUGUACACACCGCCCGUCACACCAUGAGAGUUUGUAA